GACGAACGCUGGCGGCGUGCUUAACACAUGCAAGUCGAACGGUGAAGGGACCGGUUUUUGCUGGUUCUGGAUGAGUGGCGAACGGGUGAGUAACACGUGAGUAACCUGCCCCCUUCUUCUGGAUAACCGCAUGAAAGUGUGGCUAAUACGGGAUAUUCUGCGCCUGCUGCAUGGUGGGUGUGGGAAAGAUAUUGUUUCGGUGGGGGAUGGGCUCGCGGCCUAUCAGCUUGUUGGUGGGGUGAUGGCCUACCAAGGCGGUGACGGGUAGCCGGCCUGAGAGGGUGGACGGUCACACUGGGACUGAGACACGGCCCAGACUCCUACGGGAGGCAGCAGUGGGGAGUAUUGCACAAUGGGCGAAAGCCUGAUGCAGCGACGCCGCGUGAGGGAUGGAGGCCUUCGGGUUGUAAACCUCUUUCGCCAGUGAAGCAGGCCUGUCCCUUUUGUGGGUGGGUUGACGGUAGCUGGAUAAGAAGCGCCGGCUAACUACGUG
rnacentral:rRNA from 1 species